rnacentral:rRNA from 1 species
CGGGGUGAGUAACGCGUGGAUAACCUGCCUCAAAGAGGGGGACAACAGUUGGAAACGACUGCUAAUACCGCAUAAGCCCACGGCUCGGCAUCGAGCAGAGGGAAAAGGAGUGAUCCGCUUUGAGAUGGCCUCGCGUCCGAUUAGCUAGUUGGUGAGGUAACGGCCCACCAAGGCGACGAUCGGUAGCCGGACUGAGAGGUUGAACGGCCACAUUGGGACUGAGACACGGCCCAG